rnacentral:rRNA from 1 species
GGGUUGUGAGGUUAAGCGACUAAGCGUACACGGUGGAUGCCCUGGCAGUCAGAGGCGAUGAAGGACGUGCUAAUCUGCGAUAAGCGUCGGUAAGGUGAUAUGAACCGUUAUAACCGGCGAUUUCCGAAUGGGGAAACCCAGUGUGAUUCGUCACACUAUCAUUAACUGAAUCCAUAGGUUAAUGAGGCGAACCGGGGGAACUGAAACAUCUAAGUACCCCGAGGAAAAGAAAUCAACCGAGAUUCCCCCAGUAGCGGCGAGCGAACGGGGAGCAGCCCAGAGCCUGAAUCAGUGUGUGUGUUAGUGGAAGCGUCUGGAAAGGCGUGCGAUACAGGGUGACAGCCCCGUACACAAAAAUGCACAUAUUGUGAGCUCGAUGAGUAGGGCGGGACACGUGGUAUCCUGUCUGAAUAUGGGGGGACCAUCCUCCAAGGCUAAAUACUCCUGACUGACCGAUAGUGAACCAGUACCGUGAGGGAAAGGCGAAAAGAACCCCGGCGAGGGGAGUGAAAAAGAACCUGAAACCGUGUACGUACAAGCAGUGGGAGCACGCUUAGGCGUGUGACUGCGUACCUUUUGUAUAAUGGGUCAGCGACUUAUAUUCUGUAGCAAGGUUAACCGAAUAGGGGAGCCGAAGGGAAACCGAGUCUUAACUGGGCGUUAAGUUGCAGGGUAUAGACCCGAAACCCGGUGAUCUAGCCAUGGGCAGGUUGAAGGUUGGGUAACACUAACUGGAGGACCGAACCGACUAAUGUUGAAAAAUUAGCGGAUGACUUGUGGCUGGGGGUGAAAGGCCAAUCAAACCGGGAGAUAGCUGGUUCUCCCCGAAAGCUAUUUAGGUAGCGCCUCGUGAAUUCAUCUCCGGGGGUAGAGCACUGUUUCGGCAAGGGGGUCAUCCCGACUUACCAACCCGAUGCAAACUGCGAAUACCGGAGAAUGUUAUCACGGGAGACACACGGCGGGUGCUAACGUCCGUCGUGAAGAGGGAAACAACCCAGACCGCCAGCUAAGGUCCCAAAGUCAUGGUUAAGUGGGAAACGAUGUGGGAAGGCCCAGACAGCCAGGAUGUUGGCUUAGAAGCAGCCAUCAUUUAAAGAAAGCGUAAUAGCUCACUGGUCGAGUCGGCCUGCGCGGAAGAUGUAACGGGGCUAAACCAUGCACCGAAGCUGCGGCAGCGACGCUGAUGCGUUGUUGGGUAGGGGAGCGUUCUGUAAGCCUGCGAAGGUGUGCUGUGAGGCAUGCUGGAGGUAUCAGAAGUGCGAAUGCUGACAUAAGUAACGAUAAAGCGGGUGAAAAGCCCGCUCGCCGGAAGACCAAGGGUUCCUGUCCAACGUUAAUCGGGGCAGGGUGAGUCGACCCCUAAGGCGAGGCCGAAAGGCGUAGUCGAUGGGAAACAGGUUAAUAUUCCUGUACUUGGUGUUACUGCGAAGGGGGGACGGAGAAGGCUAUGUUGGCCGGGCGACGGUUGUCCCGGUUUAAGCGUGUAGGCUGGUUUUCCAGGCAAAUCCGGAAAAUCAAGGCUGAGGCGUGAUGACGAGGCACUACGGUGCUGAAGCAACAAAUGCCCUGCUUCCAGGAAAAGCCUCUAAGCAUCAGGUAACAUCAAAUCGUACCCCAAACCGACACAGGUGGUCAGGUAGAGAAUACCAAGGCGCUUGAGAGAACUCGGGUGAAGGAACUAGGCAAAAUGGUGCCGUAACUUCGGGAGAAGGCACGCUGAUAUGUAGGUGAAGUCCCUCGCGGAUGGAGCUGAAAUCAGUCGAAGAUACCAGCUGGCUGCAACUGUUUAUUAAAAACACAGCACUGUGCAAACACGAAAGUGGACGUAUACGGUGUGACGCCUGCCCGGUGCCGGAAGGUUAAUUGAUGGGGUUAGCGCAAGCGAAGCUCUUGAUCGAAGCCCCGGUAAACGGCGGCCGUAACUAUAACGGUCCUAAGGUAGCGAAAUUCCUUGUCGGGUAAGUUCCGACCUGCACGAAUGGCGUAAUGAUGGCCAGGCUGUCUCCACCCGAGACUCAGUGAAAUUGAACUCGCUGUGAAGAUGCAGUGUACCCGCGGCAAGACGGAAAGACCCCGUGAACCUUUACUAUAGCUUGACACUGAACAUUGAGCCUUGAUGUGUAGGAUAGGUGGGAGGCUUUGAAGUGUGGACGCCAGUCUGCAUGGAGCCGACCUUGAAAUACCACCCUUUAAUGUUUGAUGUUCUAACGUUGACCCGUGAUCCGGGUUGCGGACAGUGUCUGGUGGGUAGUUUGACUGGGGCGGUCUCCUCCUAAAGAGUAACGGAGGAGCACGAAGGUUGGCUAAUCCUGGUCGGACAUCAGGAGGUUAGUGCAAUGGCAUAAGCCAGCUUGACUGCGAGCGUGACGGCGCGAGCAGGUGCGAAAGCAGGUCAUAGUGAUCCGGUGGUUCUGAAUGGAAGGGCCAUCGCUCAACGGAUAAAAGGUACUCCGGGGAUAACAGGCUGAUACCGCCCAAGAGUUCAUAUCGACGGCGGUGUUUGGCACCUCGAUGUCGGCUCAUCACAUCCUGGGGCUGAAGUAGGUCCCAAGGGUAUGGCUGUUCGCCAUUUAAAGUGGUACGCGAGCUGGGUUUAGAACGUCGUGAGACAGUUCGGUCCCUAUCUGCCGUGGGCGCUGGAGAACUGAGGGGGGCUGCUCCUAGUACGAGAGGACCGGAGUGGACGCAUCACUGGUGUUCGGGUUGUCAUGCCAAUGGCACUGCCCGGUAGCUAAAUGCGGAAGAGAUAAGUGCUGAAAGCAUCUAAGCACGAAACUUGCCCCGAGAUGAGUUCUCCCUGACUCCUUGAGAGUCCUGAAGGAACGUUGAAGACGACGACGUUGAUAGGCCGGGUGUGUAAGCGCAGCGAUGCGUUGAGCUAACCGGUACUAAUGAACCGUGAGGCUUAACCUUACAACGCCGAAGCUGUU